CAUCUACGGAGAGUUUGAUCCUGGCUCAGGACGAACGCUGGCGGCGUGCUUAACACAUGCAAGUCGAACGGUGAACUCCGCUUGCGGGGGGAUCAGUGGCGAACGGGUGAGUAACACGUGGGCAACCUGCCCUCAGCUCUGGGAUAACUCCAAGAAAUUGG
rnacentral:rRNA from 1 species